rnacentral:rRNA from 1 species
GACGAACCGUCCGAACGUUAUUCGGAAUCACUGGGCUUAAAGGGCGCGUAGGCGGGCUGCCAAGUCUGGGGUGAAAUCCCACGGCUCAACCGUGGAACUGCCUUAGAUACUGACGGCCUCGAGGGAGAUAGGGGCGAGCGGAACUGUGAGUGGAGCGGUGAAAUGCGUUGAUAUUCACAGGAACACCGGUGGCGAAGGCGGCUCGCUGGAUCUUGUCUGACGCUGAGGCGCGAAAGCUAGGGGAGCAAACGGG